GUGGGGAAUAUUGGACAAUGGGGGAAACCCUGAUCCAGCAAUGCCGCGUGAGUGAAGAAGGCCUUCGGGUUGUAAAACUCUUUUAUCAGGGAAGAUAAUGACGGUACCUGAUGAAUAAGCUCCGGCUAACUUCGUGCCAGCAGCCGCGGUAAUACGAAGGGAGCUAGCGUUGUUCGGAAUAACUGGGCGUAAAGGGCGCGUAGGCGGUUUGGUAAGUUUGAUGUGAAAGCCCUGGGCUUAACCCGGGAACUGCAUUGGAUACUGCCAGACUAGAGUGUUGUAGGGGAUGAUGGAAUUAUGCAUGGAGAGGUGGAAUUCAUAGAUAUGCAUAGGAACACCAGUAGCGAAGGCGAUCAUCUGAACAACAACUGACGUUGAGGCGCGAAAGCGUGGGGAGCAAACAGGAUUAGAUACCCGAGUAGUCC
rnacentral:rRNA from 1 species